rnacentral:tRNA from 1 species
GCGGGCGUGGCGGAAUUGGCAGACGCGUCAGGUUUAGGUCCUGGUGGGGUAAUACCCGUGGAGGUUCGAGUCCUCUCGCCCGCA